AACGAACGCUGGCGGCAGGCCUAACACAUGCAAGUCGAACGCCCUAGCAAUAGGGAGUGGCAGACGGGUGAGUAACACGUGGGAACCUUCCCUAUAGUAUGGAAUAGCCCAGGGAAACUUGGAGUAAUACCGUAUACGCCCGAGAGGGGAAAGAUUCAUCGCUAUAGGAUGGGCCCGCGUAGGAUUAGCUAGUUGGUGAGGUAAUGGCUCACCAAGGCGACGAUCCUUAGCUGGUCUGAGAGGACGACCAGCCACACUGGGACUGAGACACGGCCCAGACUCCUACGGGAGGCAGCAGUGGGGAAUAUUGGACAAUGGGCGCAAGCCUGAUCCAGCCAUGCCGCGUGAGUGAUGAAGGCCUUAGGGUUGUAAAGCUCUUUUGCCGGGGACGAUAAUGACGGUACCCGGAGAAUAAGUCCCGGCUAACUUCGUGCCAGCAGCCGCCGUAA
rnacentral:rRNA from 1 species